rnacentral:piRNA from 1 species
UCUGGAGCUUCCCUCUUGCCUGUCUAC